CUUUACUCAACUAAUGUUUGACAUGGGUUGCGAAUCUCUAGUUUAGAAGUCUGUGAUGUAGACUAUAGAGCAUCUUGAUAAUCUCUGGAUUUUUCAUGGCGGCUGUUCGAAGGAUCUAAAUUCAUGGAGGUGAACGUUUCGUUUCUGGCAACGGGAAUCAGGAUGUCAGAAGUUUUUGAAAUGGUGCACGAGCGCAAAGAGAAUAUAAUCACUACGUUUUACACGAGCGUAAGUUCCGUAUUUUCUAUGAGAACGUAUGGGGGCAGAGGAUGAGGCUGACCUGCGAGGCGAUGAAUGGAAAGGAUGCGUACUCCGCAUUGCCGGUGGUAAUGAGUAGUUUCCUCAUGAAACAGGAUGCCCUUACCAACAGCCGUGUUCGAUUAUUGACUUGAGACGGUGAAAGGAAAUGCAAGUCUGUCUGGGGCUGCAUUGUUGAUGCUAACCUCUCUGUGUUAGCCCUGGUUGAUGUCCUCAAAGGUGAACAGAGAGCUGACCUCGCUGACCGAGUCCGUCCACCCAUUCUAACUGCUGAACUGACUUGACUCACAUAGUGAAUUCCUAUCAGCAGGAUUCCUUCACCAAGACGUCCAUAUUUGCGCUAUAACAUAGUUGCAGUAUGCAAGCCAUAAGGAAGCUGCAUCGUGCUGAAGUGCAACACGGACGGCCAGCUGCGUUAAGAUUAUUUUGGGAUCAGCACAAAAAGAGGCCAGGGUAGGCUACGCUCGCAAAUUUCGAGAUUUUGAUUUUUGAUACGCG